UGGGAGAUCGUCUAAUGGUAGGACAGCGGACUCUGGCUCCGCUAAUAUAGGUUCGAAUCCUAUUCUCCCAG
rnacentral:tRNA from 2 species